AUUGAACGCUGGCGGCGAGCCUAACACAUGCAAGUCGAGCGGAUGAAGGGAGCUUGCUCCUGGAUUCAGCGGCGGACGGGUGAGUAAUGCCUAGGAAUCUGCCUGGUAGUGGGGGAUAACGUCCGGAAACGGGCGCUAAUACCGCAUACGUCCUGAGGGAGAAAGUGGGGGAUCUUCGGACCUCACGCUAUCAGAUGAGCCUAGGUCGGAUUAGCUAGUUGGUGGGGUAAAGGCCUACCAAGGCGACGAUCCGUAACUGGUCUGAGAGGAUGAUCAGUCACACUGGAACUGAGACACGGUCCAGACUCCUACGGGAGGCAGCAGUGGGGAAUAUUGGACAAAGGGCGAAAGCCUGAUCCAGCCAUGCCGCGUGUGUGAAGAAGGUCUUCGGAUUGUAAAGCACUUUAAGUUGGGAGGAAGGGCAGUAAGUUAAUACCUUGCUGUUUUGACGUUACCAACAGAAUAAGCACCGGCUAACUUCGUG
rnacentral:rRNA from 1 species